rnacentral:misc_RNA from 1 species
GAUGAAGAACGUAGCGAAAUGCGAUAAGUAAUGUGAAUUGCAGAAUUCAGUGAGUCAUCGAAUCUUUGAACGCACAUUGCGCCCUGUGGUAUUCCGCAGGGCAUGCCUGUUCGAGCGUCAUUUCAACCCUCAAGCUCCGCUUGGUGUUGGGCCCUGCCCCCGCGGCCGGCCCCAAAGACAGUGGCGGCGCCGCUUGGCCCUAAGCGUAGUACAUCUCUCGCUCUAGGACCCGGCGGUGGCCUGCCAGAACCCCCAACUCAUGUGGUUGACCUCGGAUCAGGUAGGGAUACCCGCUGAACUUAAGCAUAUCAAUAAGCGGAGGA